UAAUACGGAGGAUCCAAGCGUUGUCCGGAUUUAUUGGGUUUAAAGGGUGCGUAGGCGGAUAAUUAAGUCAGUGGUGAAAUCUUGCGGCUCAACCGUAAAAUUGCCAUUGAAACUGAUUAUCUUGAGUACAGUUGAGGUGGGCGGAAUGUAUCAUGUAGCGGUGAAAUGCUUAGAUAUGAUACAGAACACCUAUUGCGAAAGCAGCUCACUAAACUGCAACUGACGCUGAGGCACGAAAGCGUGGGGAUCAAACAGGAUUAGAUACCCUGGUAGUCCACGCCGUAAACGUUGAAUACUCGAUGUUAGCGAUAUACAGUUAGCGUCCAAGAGAAAUCGUUAAGUAUUCCACCUGGGGAGUACGACCGCAAGGUUG
rnacentral:rRNA from 1 species